rnacentral:rRNA from 1 species
CCUACGGGGGGCAGCAGUGGGGGAUAUUGCACAAUGGGGGGAACCCUGAUGCAGCGACGCCGCGUGGGUGAAGGAGUAUUUCGGUAUGUAAAGCCCUAUCGGCAGGGAAGAAUUUAGACGGUACCUGACUAAGAAGCCCCGGCUAACUACGUGCCAGCAGCCGCGGUAAUACGUAGGGGGCAAGCGUUAUCCGGAUUCACUGGGUGUAAAGGGAGCGUAGACGGCCAGGCAAGCCUGGAGUGAAAGCCCGGGGCCCAACCCCGGGACUGCUCUGGGAACUGUCCGGCUGGAGUGCGGGAGGGGCAGGCGGAAUUCCUGGUGUAGCGGUGAAAUGCGUAGAUAUUAGGAGGAACACCAGUGGCGAAGGCGGCUUACUGGACUGUAACUGACGUUGAGGCUCGAAAGCGUGGGGAGCAAACAGGAUUAGAUACCCGAGUAGUC